rnacentral:tRNA from 1 species
AAGAAGUUAGUUAAUCAAUAACAUUGACAUGUCAAGUCAAAAUAGCUACCUAAGCACUUCUUU